rnacentral:tRNA from 1 species
GGAGUUAUGGCUCAGUGGUAGAACACAUUCCUCAGAUGUAUGAAGUCCUGAGUUCGAUUCUUAAUACCA